GGCACGCUGCCACGCUGUGUACUAACUUGGGUCCCAGAGGCUGCAUAAAUGAGUUAGCUGCAUUCAGUUGGCACAGCUCUGUGCUGACCUGGCUGUCCUGAUCCCAGAACUGGAAUUUCCACAUUUGGAGGUUAUGAGCCUUUCAUAAUCUCAUCACUCUAAACUAACUGGAAUUAUUUUUUCUUACAACGUAAGUGAUAUUGUAAAGAGUGAAUUGUUGGAAUGCUCUGUGAAGCAUCUUAUCAGACUGUUCUGACAUCUCACUGCUCCUGGUUUAAAUGAUUUACUUGGUUUUCCAAUUAUUUUUACAUCUUAUUGGAUGGCAAAGGACUGUAUGAGAACUGUGAAAAAAUGUAUAAAAUAAAGCUAAUUUUAUCCAUGGUCAUGAUAUUACAGACCUUGGUGGGCUUGAACAAUUUGGUACAGAAAGUGGCCUUUUUCAUUGUCAGAUAGAUAAUCAUGUAGGAUAAGAAGAUCUCAGGCCCUGUGUUCUCAUUACUAAUGAUCAGUGUGUGUGAAGAUGCCACCUGAAAACUAUUGAGAGCCUUCUUUGUACCCUCCAGUUCUGCUGCUUCUUUAAGAGCCAUCUGCAAAAAAAAGAAGAACCCAACAUAACCAUGUUAGCAAAAAAUCUUGAAAAUGAUAUGAGAAAAUUCCAGACUGUAUUUCUUUGGUCAUAAUCUGUGAUCCUCAACACAGAAAACAAGAAGCCUAAACAAAAAAAUGUAAGAACACAAGGUGAAGGCAUGGCAAUAAGAGGAAUAUUACAUAAGAUUUGACUGGGACAAAAAAGAAACAUUUUGGAGCACAAACUUACAAAGAAAAUUUCUUCACAUCCUCCCAAGAAAACCCAACACAAUUAAUGGUGCACAGCACAACUGCCUUUUACUGCAGGAUAGGAAUAAGUAAUUCAAAUGAAUGAGAGAAAUUUGUAUCCUAGAAGGGAAGGAUAUUUAUAUCCUCCCUGCAAUCUCAUGCUGUAAAUGUUCACAGAAGAACUGUUACUGGAUGGACUAUCAAGCUAGGGGAAGGAGGUUGCUAAGAAAUGGAAGCCUAAUGAGAACAUGCACAAACCAAGAAAGAGAAAUGGUAAAAAUGAAGAGCAAAGCCAUAAACACCCCAUCUCUGUUUCUCUCCAUGAAUAACAGCAUGUGUGUCAUUAAGCUGGUGGUUUCAUGAACAUUUCAAGAUGCAAGAAGUGUUGCUACUGCUCGUGACUGUGCCUUCCAGAUACAUGGACUCACUAACAAUCAGUAACAACAAUACAAGCCUGUGCCCAUGUAACUGUAUUAAGGCAAUGGUGAGUGAACAAAUGAAUUCCUGCAGAAGAGCAGGUAUGAUGUUCAGCGAGCUCAGAACAUGAGCAGGGUGAGCUCCCACCUACUGCAGUGUGGGCAGAGGGUCUGUCUGCACUUCAGAGCUCUGGGUGAAUGUGGCCUAAGGCAAAAACAAGGAAUGUUUACAUAAAGAAAAAAGGAAAAGAGAAAAAGAAAAAAGUAAAAAGAGAAAAAGAAAAAAAAAAAGAAAAAGUAUGCAUAUCCAAAGAAAAUUAUUAAAAAAUAAUGAAAUGAGUGCUCUCCCUUCCCGCAGUCCGAAUAGUUUAUACUUUUUACAUCACUUUGAAUAUAAUGCAUACUAAAUGGACUAAAAUAUAACAUGUACUAAUGGACUAAUGCAAGCCCCUCUCUAAUGAGUAUGUACCAAAACAGCUGGAAAGGGUGGCGGACUUGCCCGGUGUUAGCUCCAUCGUUUGCAGUUAUGUUGAGUUACACUGGCAGUGAACUUGUCCCAUUUACAAACACUUCAGUGACACCACAGUCAGCGUUUUCUCACCACUCUUGCUUUCUUUCCUACAAUAAGCACUAAAACAAAUAACAAAAAAGUAGCGCUAGACAAAGAAGCCGCCUCUUCUCAUACAGAGCUUGGCAGGCACAAAUUGCUGGGCUUCAGUUAGCAGGUCUGUUGGCUUCUAUUUGCUCUUGUAACAUCAGCCUUUUCUUUGUUCUCUCCAAGAUUUGUGACUUUUGAGCAAGUUUUCCAGGGUCCAGACUCCUAUCUAAGCAAGCUUUCCCUCAAACUGGUUUGCUUGUUGAUGUGUUUUCCUAAAAACAAGCCUGUAGUGUGCUGUAGCAGCUUGUUUUAUACCACCAGGAAAGAUGUAUCUGUAGCUUAACUUGGUUAAACACUUUUUUUCCUCAGGAAAACAACAACAAAAACAAAUAAACAAAACCAAGACCAACCAAACAAAAUAGGACUGUUACCCUUGGUUGCUGAGACUCCUGAGGCCUUCCUAGCAAUGACUGAAUGACAGUUCACGUCUUAGUAUAGACUGACCUUCAAUUUUAUAGGCUUUAACUCUUGCUAAACACAUCAUCUUAUCUGAGACAUUUGUCAAGCACAAAUAUCAUUUCAUCUAAGGGAAGCCAUACAGCACAUGAGGGCAAAUAAAAUGUUGUUGCUUUGCAGCUGGUGAGCAAGUAUUUCAGGACAAUAAUAAGGCCAUUAUUAAAUGUCAGUAUGACUGCACUGUAUAAUUCUGGAUCACAAAUAAAAAAAAACCCCACAGAGCAGAUUCAGCAUUUUGCCCAUUGGAAGCGGUAUACAACAGCUGAAAAUGCUCUAUUUUUACAUCCCUAUCAAUAGAAGUCUGAGUAGCUGCUAACAGUUUUGCAUCCAUGGAAUUACAGCUGCAGUUAUUAAUAAAAAAAUUCACCUA